rnacentral:misc_RNA from 1 species
GAUGAAGAACGUAGCGAAAUGCGAUAAGUAAUGCGAAUUGCAGAAUUCAGUGAGACAUCGAAUCUUUGAACGCACAUUGCGCCCUGUGGUAUUCCGCAGGGCAUGCCUGUUCGAGCGUCAUUUCAACCCUCAAGCCUCGCUUGGUGUUGGGCCCUGCCCGCCGCGGCCGGCCCUAAAGAUAGUGGCGGCGCCGCCUGGCCCUCAGCGUAGUACAGCUCUCGCUCCAGGGUCCGGCGGCAGCCUGCCAGAACCCCCCAACUCUGUGGUUGACCUCGGAUCAGGUAGGGAUACCCGCUGAACUUAAGCAUAUCAAUAAGCGGAGGA